rnacentral:lncRNA from 1 species
UGGGAUACAGGAGAAAGAGUAUGGAUACCUUCAUCUAUCAUGAGAAAGAUAGCAAGACACCAUUGCAUAUUGCAUGAAAUAUGAAUUCACGGGCCCUUUGAGAUUCACACUAGUUCUAGGAACUAAAGAAUUGAGUCUAACGAUUCCAGAAAUUACUAAGUUGUGUCUCUGUCAUAUUUAUUUGAAAGUGUCGAUGUGUUAUUGUUUAUUUAAAUAUUUUAUUUAUUGUGAAUGCCAUAAAUUGUGAUUGUUUUAAUCUGAUUUUUAUUGGAUUAUAUAGAUAC